rnacentral:rRNA from 1 species
GGUGAACGCUGGCGGCGUGCUUAAGACAUGCAAGUCGAACGCAGUCUUCGGACUGAGUGGCGCACGGGUGAGUAACACGUAACUGACCUACCCCCAAGUCGCGAAUAACCAGCCGAAAGGAUGGCUAAUACGUGAUGUGAUGAUCCGCUGUGGCGGAUACUUAAAGACUUGAUCGCUUGGGGAUGGGGUUGCGUUCCAUCAGCUAGUUGGUAAGGUAAAGGCUUACCAAGGCAACGACGGAUAGCCGGCCUGAGAGGGUGGGCGGCCACAGGGGCACUGAGACACGGGUCCCACUCCUACGGGAGGCAGCAGUUAGGAAUCUUCCACAAUGGGCGCAAGCCUGAUGGAGCGACGCCGCGUGAGGGAUGAAGGUUCUCGGAUCGUAAACCUCUGAACCAACGACGAAAGACCCGACAAGGGAGAUGACGGUAGUUGGGUAAUAGCACCGGCUAACUCCGUGCCAGCAGCCGCCGUAACAC